UACAGAGGUCUCAAGCGUUGUUCGGAUUCAUUGGGCGUAAAGGGUGCGUAGGCGGCGCGGUAAGUCGGGUGUGAAAUCUCGGGGCUUAACUCCGAAACUGCAUUCGAUACUGCCGUGCUUGAGGACUGGAGAGGAGACUGGAAUUUACGGUGUAGCGGUGAAAUGCGCAGAUAUCGGGAGGAACACCUGUGGCGAAAGCGGCGCACUGGACCAUAACUGACGCUGAGGCGCGAAAGCUGGGGGAGCAAACCGG
rnacentral:rRNA from 1 species